rnacentral:miRNA from 1 species
CAUACAAGGGUAAUUUCUUUUC